rnacentral:rRNA from 1 species
GACGAACGCUGGCGGCGUGCUUAACACAUGCAAGUCGAACGAUGAACCCGGAGCUUGCUCCGGUGGAUUAGUGGCGAACGGGUGAGUAACACGUGAGUAACCUGCCCUUGACUCUGGGAUAACUGCUAGAAAUGGUAGCUAAUACCGGAUACGACCCUCGGAGGCAUCUCCAGGGGGUGGAAAGAAUUUCGGUCAAGGAUGGACUCGCGGCCUAUCAGCUAGUUGGUGAGGUAAAGGCUCACCAAGGCGACGACGGGUAGCCGGCCUGAGAGGGUGACCGGCCACAUUGGGACUGGAGACACGGCCCAGACUCCGUACGGUGGCGACG